UCAAGCGACAUAUCAAGCCACAUAUCAGAUAAUAUAACCAACAUUUUUAACCAUUAUAAAUCGCUACCUAUUCAAAAAAAUGCACACAUAUGUAAUGACUAUACCGCAAACAAUAACAACAAUUAUAACGUCGUAUCGAACAAUUCUUUUUAUAAAUGCGUAAAAAAUAAUUUAUUCGAAUUUUUACCAAAUAAAAUUGAAGAGGAUGAUUAUUAUAUAUAUAACAAAAAUAUACAUAAUCCUAUGUUUGUAGCAUGCGAAAUAUAUGGAACACCUUCCCCAUUAGGUCCUCCCGUAGUAACAUUUCAAGACGACGAUGUAGGUGAUGACUGUAAAACCAAAAAUGACAGUAAUAUAAAUAAAAAAAAAAAAAAGUAUAAAAUUUGCUGAUGAUAGUAGUAAUGACAAUAAUAACGUAUCAAAUAAUUUUAGUAGUCCAGAAAAAGAAAAAAAGAAAAAAAUAUCAUUUGUUAUUGAAGAAAAACCAUCUAUUAAUUUAGAAAAAAAAAAACCAAGAACUCGAAAAGCUACAGGGUAUAUAAAAGUGGAUGUUAAAAAAUUACUCGAAGAGAUAGGAAGUGAUAUAGAGGAUGAUUCAAAACAAUCGGAAACAAAAACAGAUAGUAAUAAUGGCGAUGAAGAUGAUGAUAAUGAUGAUGAUGAUGAUGAUAAUGAUGAUGAUGAUGAUGAUAAUGAUGAUGAUAAUAAUGAUGAAUUAAAAAGUAGAAAAAACAAAGAUGAUUAUACUUCACAUGUAAGAUUUGAAAAAAGUAUAUAUAGUCUUCCUGUAAAAAAAAGUGUUUCAUCAAGUUCAGAAGAUAUUAAUGAUAAUAGUAUGCAAAAAUCAGCAAGUUCUAGCUCAUUUAGACCUGUACGUACUCGUAAACCUACAGGAUUUGUUAAAAUGGAUAUUAAAAAAUUACUUGCAGAUAUAGGUAGUGAUAUAGAAGAUGAUGAAGAAGGGAAUGAAAUAAAAAAUCGUGUAAGAUUUAAUGAAAAUGUAAUGACUACUACUGUUCCUUUAAAAAAAAAUGUAUCAUUUAGCUCUGUUGACGAUACUAGUGAUCGUGGUGAUGAUGAAAAAAAAAAAUCUAUUAAAGUAGGAAGAUCUGUAAGAACUCGAAAACCAACAGGAUUUGUUAAAAUGGACUUAACAAAAUUAUAUAAUAGUAUAUCAAGUACUGUGGAUAAUGAAGAAAAUGACGAUGACAUUGAAAAUGAAAAUCAAUUGAGUAAAAAACGUGAAGAUAGUGAUGAAACAGGUGAUGAAAAAAGUGACGAAAAAAGUGGAGAAACAAAACAGAGUGAAGAGAAGAGGAUAACAAAUGUAAAAACUAAAAAAAAUGUUUCAACUAGUUCGAUAAAAAAAAGUGUAUCUUUUAGUUCUUUUAGUUCAGAGGAUGGACAAUCUGUUUCUGUUGAAAACCAAACGAAUAAAAAAGCAUCAAGAGGUGUUAGAACAAGGAAACCAACAGGAUUUGUUAAAGCUGAUAUGAGUAAAUUUUUACAAAGUAUAGGAAGUUAUGAUGACGACGAUGAUGAUGAUGAUGAUGAUAAUAAUAACACUAAUAAAAAAAAUAAAGAAACUGAUGAUGGUGAUGAUUCAGAAGAUAUGAAUAUAUCAUUCAAAAAUGAAGAUAUUUCAACAAUAAGAAAAAAAAGUGUAUCUUUUAGUUCGGAAGAAGAACAUUUUUAUGUCGAAAAAGAUGGUACACACGGUAUGCGUAAAUUGCAAAACAAAAAUAAAAAAAAAAAAAAAAAAAAAAAAAAGGUAUAA
rnacentral:lncRNA from 1 species